UGAGUAACCUGCCUUUAACUCUGGGAUAAGCCUGGGAAACUGGGUCUAAUACCGGAUAUGACUCCUCAUCGCAUGGUGGGGGGUGGAAAGCUUUUUGUGGUUUUGGAUGGACUCGCGGCCUAUCAGCUUGUUGGUGAGGUAAUGGCUCACCAAGGCGACGACGGGUAGCCGGCCUGAGAGGGUGACCGGCCACACUGGGACUGAGACACGGCCCAGACUCCUACGGGAGGCAG
rnacentral:rRNA from 1 species